UACGUAGGGUGCGAGCGUUGUCCGGAAUUAUUGGGCGUAAAGAGCUUGUAGGCGGUUUGUCGCGUCUGCUGUGAAAUCUCAAGGCUCAACCUUGAGCUUGCAGUGGGUACGGGCAGACUAGAGUGUGGUAGGGGAGACUGGAAUUCCUGGUGUAGCGGUGAAAUGCGCAGAUAUCAGGAGGAACACCAAUGGCGAAGGCAGCUCGCUGGGACGUGACUGACGCUGGAGACGCGAAAGCGUGGGGAGCAAACAGG
rnacentral:rRNA from 1 species